GGGCCUGAAGUGAACUGACCCAACUGUAUCAACAGUUCUGUGCUACUCGGCGUUUUCUGCAUGGACGGCGACUUCAUACAAGAAGAAAGAUGAUGGCAAGCGGAGGUCACCUGUUGUCUGUGCACAUCCACGAUCACGUUCCUUGAAGCAAGUUUGUCAAUGUUCCUGGUUUUGUAAAUGUUCCUGGUUUGAUUAAAAAUGCAAUGAAUCACA